GAAUGAGUCUGGAUUUGAAUCCAGGUCAGUGUGAGUCCCAAGUGGAUCCUUUUCAUGACUAUAUAGUAUCAGAGUUACAUUGGCUUCAUAAAACUAAAUCAGGUUGGCUUCCAUCUUUUUAUCAUGGGUAAUUUAAUUUAUGCUUAGCCUGCUUUUCGCCUUCCUUCCCUAGACCAAUGUACCAAUUCAGGAUGAAGGACCACCAAACUUGCUUUGUCUAAAAUCUAGUGCUGGAAACUUUCAGUUGGAUUCCUGGGCUUCCACAAAGUCUUCAUAGAGAGACUCCCAAAGAAGGCCUGUUUGGUGCUAACUUCACCAUCUUCCACCCCACCGUGUUCAUUCUACUUGGCAUCCCAGGACUGGAGAACUACCACACCUGGCUUUCUCUCCCCUUCUGUCUCAUGUACAUCACUGUAGUCUUGGGAAAUGGAGCCCUCAUCCUUGUUGUCCUCAGUGAGUGCACCCUCCAUGAACCUGUGUAUGUCUUCCUAUCCAUGCUGGCUGGCACUGACGUUCUGGUAUCUACCACCACCGUUCCCAAAGCCCUGGCUAUCUUUUGGUUUCAUGCUGGGGAGAUUGCCUUUGAUGCCUGCAUCACUCAGAUGUUUUUCUUUUUUUUUUUUAAUGUGAAAUUUAUUGCCAAGUUAGUUUCCAUACAACACCCAGUGCUCAUCCCAACAGGUGCCCUCCUCAAUGCCCAUCACCCACUUUCCCCUUCUCCCUCACCCCCCAUCAACCCUCAAUUUAUUCUCAGUUUUUUUUUUUUAAAUUUUUUUUAACGUUUAUUUAUUUUUGAGACAGAGAGAGACAGAGCAUGAACGGGGGAGGGGCAGAGAGAGAGGGAGACACAGAAUCUGAAGCAGGCUCCAGGCUCUGAGCCGUCAGCCCAGAGCCCGACGCGGGGCUCGAACUCACGGACCGUGAGAUCGUGACCUGAGCCGAAGUCAGACGCUUAACCGACUGAGCCACCCAGGCGCCCCUAUUCUCAGUUUUUAAGA